UGGGGAAUUUUGGACAAUGGACGCAAGUCUGGUCCAGCCAUGCCGCGUGCGGGAAGAAGGCCUUCGGGUUGUAAACCGCUUUUGUCAGGGAAGAAACGAGUUUCUCUAAUACAGAGACUUAAUGACGGUACCUGAAGAAUAAGCACCGGCUAACUACGUGCCAGCAGCCGCGGUAAUACGUAGGGUGCAAGCGUUAAUCGGAAUUACUGGGCGUAAAGCGUGCGCAGGCGGUUAUGUAAGACAGAUGUGAAAUCCCCGGGCUCAACCUGGGACCUGCAUUUGUGACUGCAUAGCUAGAGUACGGCAGAGGGGGAGGGAAUUCCGCGUGUAGCAGUGAAAUGCGUAGAUAUGCGGAGGAACACCGAUGGCGAAGGCAAUCCCCUGGGCCUGUACUGACGCUCAUGCACGAAAGCGUGGGGAGCAAACA
rnacentral:rRNA from 1 species